UACGUAGGGGGCAAGCGUUGUCCGGAAUCAUUGGGCGUAAAGCGCGUGUAGGCGGCCAGGUAAGUCCGUUCGUGAAAGCCCGGGGCUCAACCCGGGAGGCGGAUGGAUACUGCUUGGCUCGAGUCCGGAAGAGGCGAGUGGAAUCCUGGUGUAGCGGUGAAAUGUCGCAGAGUAUCAAGGAGGAACACCGAUGGCGGAAGGGCAAGGUCUCGUGGGCCGACCUACUGGACGCUGAGAAGCGAAGCGUGGGAGCGAACAGG
rnacentral:rRNA from 1 species